rnacentral:rRNA from 1 species
UACGGAGGGUGCAAGCGUUAUCCGGAUUCACUGGGUUUAAAGGGUGUGUAGGCGGGCUGUUAAGUCAGUGGUGAAAUCUCAAGGCUCAACCUUGAAACUGCCAUUGAUACUAUCAGUCUUGAAUCUUGUUGAGGUGGGCGGAAUAUGUCAUGUAGCGGUGAAAUGCUUAGAUAUGACAUAGAACACCAAUUGCGAAGGCAGCUCGCUAAACAAGUAUUGACGCUGAGGCACGAAAGCGUGGGGAUCAAACAGG